GACGAACGCUGGCGGCGUGCCUAAUACAUGCAAGUGGGACGCAAGGGAACACACUGUGCUUGCACACCGUGUUUUCUUGAGUCGCGAACGGGUGAGUAACGCGUAGGUAACCUGCCUAUUAGCGGGGGAUAACUAUUGGAAACGAUAGCUAAUACCGCAUAAUAUUAAUUAUUGCAUGAUAAUUGAUUGAAAGAUGCAAGCGCAUCACUAGUAGAUGGACCUGCGUUGUAUUAGCUAGUUGGUAAGGUAAGAGCUUACCAAGGCGACGAUACAUAGCCGACCAGAGAGGGUGAUCGGCCACACUGGGACUGAGACACGGCCCAGACUCCUACGGGAGGCAGCAGUAGGGAAUCUUCGGCAAUGGACGAAAGUCUGACCGAGCAACGCCGCGUGAGUGAAGAAGGUUUUCGGAUCGUAAAGCUCUGUUGUAAGUCAAGAACGUGUGAGAGUGGAAAGUUCACACAGUGACGGUAGCUUACCAGAAAGGGACGGCU
rnacentral:rRNA from 1 species